GUGCUCGCUUUGCAGCACAUAUACUAAAAUUGGAAGCUUACAGAGAAGAUAGUAUGGGCAGCAUGCAAGGAUGACAUGCAAAGUCUUGAAGCUUUCCAUAUGUUU
ensembl:snRNA U6 U6 spliceosomal RNA